rnacentral:lncRNA from 1 species
UUUUUAUUGAUAAAAAGUAUUUUAAAUGUGUGUUUUAAUCAAAUCCAUGAAAUGAAAGAAAAAAAAAUCAUCUAUAAAAAAAGAGUACUGCAUUCUAAUAAGCACUACUAAAUUAAAUUGAAAAUCCGAAUAAAAAUUAUUAAAUAAAAAAAUUGAAAGCAAAAUGAGCGGAGAAAAACCCCAUAGAAAAAAAAAACCAAACAAUAGACAAAAAAAAUUGAGACUA